UACGUAGGGGGCUAGCGUUGUCCGGAAUCAUUGGGCGUAAAGAGCGUGUAGGCGGCCCGGUAAGUCCGCUGUGAAAGUCGGGGGCUCAACCCUCGAAUGCCGGUGGAUACUGUCGGGCUAGAGUGCGGAAGAGGCGAGUGGAAUUCCUGGUGUAGCGGUGAAAUGCGCAGAUAUCAGGAGGAACACCGAUUGCGAAGGCGGCUCGCUGGGACGUAACUGACGCUGAGACGCGAAAGCGUGGGGAGCAAACAGG
rnacentral:rRNA from 1 species